AUUGAACGCUGGCGGCAGGCUUAACACAUGCAAGUCGAGCGCCCUAGCAAUAGGGAGUGGCGCACGGGUGCGUAACACGUGGGAAUGUACCCCAGGGUAAGGAAUAAUGUCUGGAAAAGGACACUAAUACCUUAUAAUGAAUUUGGUCCAAAGAUUUAUCGCCCUGGGAUCAGCCCGCGUCGGAUUAGCUAGUUGGUGAGGUAAUGGCUCACCAAGGCAACGAUCAGUAGCUGGUCUGAGAGGAUGAUCCGCCACACUGGAACUGAGACACGGUCCAGACUCCUACGGGAGGCAGCAGUGAGGAAUAUUGCACAAUGGAGGAAACUCUGAUGCAGCCAUGCCGCGUGAGUGAAGAAGGCCUUCGGGUUGUAAAGCUCUUUUAGUCGUGAAGAUAAUGACGGUAGCGACAGAAAAAGCCCCGGCUAAAUUCGUGCCAGCAGCCGCCGUAA
rnacentral:rRNA from 1 species